UUUCUUGCGUCCGUAGUUCAAUGAAUAUUAAUGAAGCAUUUGUGCAAAGCAAUCUCAUAGUACCAAAAAUUAUUACAAAAUUAACUGGGAAAUGGUCAGAAUUGUCACAUAUAACUGAACCGCAAGCGCUGCAUUAAAAUUUAAUUUUUGAACAAUGCGUCGUGGAAUCUCGGUUAAAAACUUGGUUCCUUACUUUGUGAUGCUUGUGUGAUUAAUAGUAGAUUACGUACUAGUUGGGAACGUUUAUUUUGCCGAGUAUGAGGGUGCAGCCCGAACCGAAGGUAAGAGCUGCAAUCAUACAAGGGAAAAUAUGAAGUUUCAAAGAGUUAAGUCAGUUAGUUAAUGCCCCUCGGGAACAUUAAACAACUAAAACUGUUUUGAGUUUGAAUUCUCCUCUUCGAUUUUUUAUUGCCACUACCACCUCAAUGGUGUCCAUCUAAAAUACCGAUCGAAAAUGUGCCAUAAUUGAAAAACGACAAAGCUCUAUCGAGAUAUAAAUAUGAAAUCUGUUAACUUCUUCUGUAUUUUGUGUUAAAGUAUCUCUAGAAUUGAUAAUAGUGUAAAUAAUAAGCGAUAAACGCAUAGAAAGUAGAGUUGUCGUGUUAAUUUUGUUGAUCCGAGGUGAAGCCGAUGACAAUAUAAACACGAAAACGAGACAUUUCAUUUUUAUCGCGAGUUAUGUAUCGAGAAAAGUGGUCGAAACAAAAAAUAGUUAUUUGUGGGUUGUCACUUGAGGCCGAGUGUGACUACACAUAUCUUGUGCCUAGAAAAGCAUUUAUCACCAAGUUGCAUACAACAUUUUUCUUAAAAAACGCAACGAAAAUGUCACUUUUCGUCACUGGGUUGAGAAAAGUACUGUUUUCAACGCAUGUAAUGUGUUAAGCAUUUUACAUGCUACAUUGCUACAUGCAUGCGUUGAAAACAGUAUUUUUCAUAAUUGUUUCGACGCACUUAGCAUGUAAAAAUGAAGUCAUGUUCCCGUGUGAUUGACUUCGCCUUUGGAGGCAUACAAAACUGGAAAUUUUUGAAAAAGUCCUAUUUCCGCGACAAGUAUGUUGAGCCAAACUUGAUAAUCACGCAAAAACAUUACUACAUUUCGAUUUAUUUUCCUAACUCAAUUCGUCUUGUUGUCUCUGGUGUUGUUAUAAUGCCAUUUUCGACCCUACGAGAAACCAACGCAUUUAAAUGACAAUUAAUUCAUUAGUUUUAACGAACGCUAUCUAAAAGAAUUCUAGCUAGAGCCUAUUUUUUAUCUUCACUGUCCUACCAUAUAAGACAAGACGUUUCUAAAAGGUUAAUGAAACCCAGAACAACAUAAAUUUUAUAAACGAAAAGACAAAAACAUAUUGAAAGAACUAUAAUAAUUGCUAAAUUGUGAGUAAAUGAAAGAUCAAUAAAAUGUCCCUUAAAAGCACUAUAAACAAAGUUGCGAGAGACAAUAAAAAUAACAUAGGAAGUGCUAAAAAAAUAAUGAAAAAACUUUUAUUUUUUAAAAAGAAAAGAAAAAAACUUGAACCUGAUAUUAUUAUUGUGCUAGAAAUGAGUAUAUUUUAUUAGAAUGUACUAUAAACAACAACUUGUAAUCCUAGAUAAUUAGAUCCUAGAGAAACUAUAUAUAUACCUAAACAAAACUACUCUUUAAUAUGAAGAAAAAAUAUUGUUAUAUUCUGUGAUGCUAAAGAUUUAAGUUUCAACAUUUAGUUUCCUUUUCGUAAACAUAUUGAGCAUUGAUUUUUUUCUAGCCAUUUGACUUGUAAGUCGGAAUAUUAUAUUAAAU